AGCAGUAGCCGCGGUAAAACGAAGGGUGCAAGCGUUAAUCGGAAUUACUGGGCGUAAAGCGUGCGUAGGCGGUGAGUUAAGUCUGCUGUGAAAUCCCCGGGCUCAACCUGGGAAUGGCAGUGGAUACUGGCUCGCUAGAGUGUGUCAGAGGAUGGUGGAAUUCCCGGUGUAGCGGUGAAAUGCGUAGAGAUCUGGAGGAAUACCGAUGGCGAAGGCAGCCAUCUGGCCUAACACUGACGCUGAGGUACGAAAGCAUGGGGAGCAAACAGGGUUAGAUACCCGAGUAGUCCCUGUCUCUUAUAA
rnacentral:rRNA from 1 species